GACGAACGCUGGCGGCGUGCCUAAUACAUGCAAGUUGAGCGCUGAAGGUUGGUACUUGUACCAACUGGAUGAGCAGCGAACGGGUGAGUAACGCGUGGGGAAUCUGCCUUUGAGCGGGGGACAACAUUUGGAAACGAAUGCUAAUACCGCAUAAAAACUUUAAACACAAGUUUUAAGUUUGAUAGAUGCAAUUGCAUCACUCAAAGAUGAUCCCGCGUUGUAUUAGCUAGUUGGUGAGGUAAAGGCUCACCAAGGCGAUGAUACAUAGCCGACCUGAGAGGGUGAUCGGCCACAUUGGGACUGAGACACGGCCCAAACUCCUACGGGAGGCAGCAGUAGGGAAUCUUCGGCAAUGGACGAAAGUCUGACCGAGCAACGCCGCGUGAGUGAAGAAGGUUUUCGGAUCGUAAAACUCUGUUGGUAGAGAAGAACGUUGGUGAGAGUGGAAAGCUCAUCAAGUGACGGUAACUACCCAGAAAGGGACGGCUAACUACGUG
rnacentral:rRNA from 1 species